UUACAGACCUAAUAAUAAUCUUAUUUAUAUUAUUUAUAAUAAUAUUUUAAAACAAUCUUCUUUUAUUUUCAAUCUUAUAUUUCAUGAAACAUUAACCUAAUCUUUAACUAGACUACUAGAAUAAAUAAAGCCAAAGCUAGUUGGUGUUUGCCAUAUAAUAUAUUUCUUUACAAAACUUUCUCAGUACAAACGUUUCGGCACAUUUUCUUCGGCCAUCCUCGGUGUGUGAUAAUAUUCAUCUAAUACAUAAUUAAAAAUUCUUUCCUAUGCUUAAGGUAUAACGAGAUAUUUGUUGUUCCUUCCCAUUUUGCAUUUUACAAUAUUGCUAAAACCAGAGAGUAUAAAAAUUCAAGUCAACCUUAUUAAAGUUAAUGGAAUAAAUUAUAGGUACCUGUUAAAUAGUGAGAGUGAUUUCUGUGUAUCCGUGAAAGUCCUUGGUUUGCUUUCUUUAUUUGUGUAUGCCAUUAUUCGUCCUAAUAUUGUCGUGAAAUAUAUUCAGCUUAUAAGUUGUAUAAUAAAUAAGAAAAGUAAAAUUGUAUAAACGUUUUAGUUAAUAAUUAAAAUAAUAAUUAUUAAAAUAAUGAAAAUAAAAAUAAAAAUAAAAAUAAGACUAUGAAAAUAAAAAGUAAAAGAACUGAAACAAUAGUCUCGUCAAAGUGUUAAAAUUAGUAGUAAUAAAAGAAGAAAAAGUAAAUAAAAAAUAAUUUUUACGUUAAGAAUUAACAAGAUGGAAUAAUAAAUUAAAAUAAAUAGAUAAGACUAGAUUUGUCAAUAGUUAAAACUUUGUACUAAUUAAAUGCUAGGAAAUAAUUCUUUAUAACUUGUCAGUGUUCUUACUUCCUACGUGUUUGUGUCUUUACGGAUAACUGUAGACUGAUGUUUGAUCGAAUUUAAAUAUUCGGGAAGGAGUCAAGGAUCGGCAUAUAAAUACUUUUUAAGUGUUCUGUAUGAUUGUGUAUGUUGAGACCCAUCUUUUGUUUUUUUAUAUGCAACAUUUCCGAUGUCAAUCUUUUUGUAUAAUUCGGUUCUUUAUCUAAGAUUUUGACUGUGUCCCAAUUGAAAUCAUGAUUAAAUUCUAUUCUAUGGCGUGAGAUAGGAAACACCAACUAGCUUUGGCUCUAUCAGCAUUUCAAUACAUCAACUAGUAUUAAGUUAAUACCAAGAGCCGUUAUACACACUAUUAUUUGAAUUUUAGAAUAAAUAAAUCAACACUACAGCAUCAAAUAGAAAGUGAUAGAGAAUGGCCGCUUUACCCUUUUUUAUCCUUAUUUUUAUCGAUCCUUUUUACAGAAUGAUAUAGUUUAGUUUACUACUAUAUGUCAAUAGCACAAUUGUGCUUGCUUCCGUGCCACGGUGAACUUCUUUUAUUUACCUAAUAGGUGUAUUUUGUUUACGAGAAGUACGCCAUGUAAUGGGAUAGUAAAAUUGCUCUGCAUGCGUGCGGACCUACUGUAAUACGUAAUAUAUUUAUCUUGUGUCAUGAAUAUCUAGCAUAUCCCCUUAUUUUAAGGGAUAAUACUAUUUUGGACGGUCAUAAAAUUGACUUUUUUUGUUUAAAAUGUUCUUUAUACUUUUAAAAAUUGUAAACAAAUACUCAGACUUCAAUAUCGGAAGCAAAAAAUUGAUUUUAGAGUUAUAAUAGUGGAGCGCCUCACAUUGUUCCAUUGUACUCAUCGAGCGGCUCUAGGAGAUUUGGAGUAUUGAGUCUACUACAUGGAGUUGGACCUUUACCUAAGCGCAGACUAAAGCUCGUGCUCGAGACUACGCUUUCAACAAUAUUGAGGCGAAAGGAUCGAUGAAUGGAAUUGAGCACGUAGAAAGAAGGUUAAAAGACAUGAAGGUGAAAGCAAGUAAGAGAGUAGGCGUGAGAAUUUGUAGAUUGAAAGGAGAAAUUGAAGCAGAGGAGGAUAAGGAAAAGGAGAUGGAGGGAAUGGAGAAACUGAGGAAAGAUAUGAGGGAAAUGAGGAGAUGUUUGGAGGAGAUGGUGGAUCUAUUCAGAGGAUGAUGCAGGGAAGUGAGCGGAUGGAGAGAAGGAAGAAGCAGUAGGAUAUUAGAAAUCUAAAAGAGAACGAAAGAAGAAAAUUGAGAUGGA